GACGAACGCUGGCGGCGUGCUUAACACAUGCCAGUCGAACGGAAAGGCCCUGCUUUUGUGGGGUGCUCGAGUGGCGAACGGGUGAGUAACACGUGAGUAACCUGCCCUUGACUUUGGGAUAACUUCAGGAAACUGGGGCUAAUACCGGAUAGGAGCUCCUGCUGCAUGGUGGGGGUUGGAAAGUUUCGGCGGUUGGGGAUGGACUCGCGGCUUAUCAGCUUGUUGGUGGGGUAGUGGCUUACCAAGGCUUUGACGGGUAGCCGGCCUGAGAGGGUGACCGGCCACAUUGGGACUGAGAUACGGCCCAGACUCCUACGGGAGGCAGCAGUGGGGAAUAUUGCACAAUGGGCGGAAGCCUGAUGCAGCAACGCCGCGUGCGGGAUGACGGCCUUCGGGUUGUAAACCGCUUUCGCCUGUGACGAAGCGUAAGUGACGGUAAUGGGUAAAGAAGCACCGGCUAACUACGUG
rnacentral:rRNA from 1 species